CCCUUAGAUGCUCUGGGCCGCACGCGCGCUACACUGGUCGAUGCAACGAGUUUCUUUCCUUGGCCGACAGGCCUGGGCAAUCUUUGAACAUCGAUCGUGAUCGGGAUAGAUUCUUGUAAUUUUUGAUCUUAAACGAGGAAUUCCUAGUAAACGCAGGUCAUCAGCUUGCAUUGAUUACGUCCCUGCCCUUUGUACACACCGCCCGUCGCACCUACCGAUUGAAUGGUCCGGUGAAAUCUCCGGACUGGCGUGAGUCGGAGCAAUCUGACAAACACCGGAAAGUUGAUUAAACCUUACCAUUUAGAGGAAGGUGAAGUCGUAACA
rnacentral:rRNA from 1 species